AUUGAACGCUGGCGGCAGGCCUAACACAUGCAAGUCGAGCGAGCGGCGGACGGGUGAGUAAUGUAUGGGGACUGCCCGAUAGAGGGGGCUAACUACUGGGAACGGUGGCUAAUACCGCAUACUAUCAGCUAAACCAUAUGUGAUGAGCUAGUAGGUGGGGUAAAGGCUCACCUAGGCUACGAUCUCUAGCUGGUCUGAGAGGAUGAUCAGCCACCCUGGAACUGAGACACGGACCAGACUCCUACGGAGGCAGCAGUGGGGAAUAGUGCACAAUGGGCGCAAGCCUGAUGCAGCCAUGCCGCGUGUAUGAAGAAGGCCUUAGGGUUGUAAAGUACUUUCAGCGGGGAGGCGUUACCCGCAGAAGAAGCACCGGCUAACUCCGUGCCAGCAGCCGCGGUAAUUC
rnacentral:rRNA from 1 species